rnacentral:rRNA from 1 species
UACGGGGGGAGCAAGCGUUGUUCGGAUUUACUGGGCGUAAAGGGCGCGUAGGCGGUCACUACAAGUCAGUUGUGAAAUCUCUGGGCUUAACUCAGAACGGUCAACUGAUACUGUCGGACUAGAGUGCAGAAGGGGCAACUGGAAUUCUCGGUGUAGCGGUGAAAUGCGUAGAUAUCAAGAGGAACACCUGCGGCGAAGGCGGGUUGCUGGGCCGACACUGACGCUGAGGCGCGAAAGCCAGGGGAGCGAACGGG